UAGGCGGCGGCAGCGGGGCAGUCGACUCCGGGCCCCGGCCGCCGCUCGACCUCGGGCCGGAGCCCCACUCCACCCGCAGCGGCCCAGCCCGGCCCGACUCGCGGCCUCGGCAGCUCUCUGGCCUGCGCGGCGUGGGCACGCCCGACCCCGAAACUUUCGCCCGGGGCCGUGGGCGGGAGGCGAGGACGCAAGGUCCUGGGCCGGCGCGGGGCGUGCGUCCACGCAGCCCACGGGCAAGGGCUCGCACCGCCCGCCGCGUCCGAGGGGCGCUGCCCGGCCCGGCCCGCAAGCUGGCACAAAACAAAAGCGAGUGUUGAAGAAUGCAAUGGGAAGUUCCUGGGCGAACAUCUGGUGAAGACAUUCUAAGAACACAUCUGAAAUGAAGAAAGCAGCGGAACAAAUCAUUCACCCAGUUCACCCCGAGCUGCGGUGGGAAGGACUUCGGCGGAUCCUCAAGCUGGGACGCCAGCCUGCACAGGGACCACGUCCGCCGGUGGCCGCAGCAGGGGCAAGCCAGGCCAGAGGUUGCGGCACGGCCCUACGCGUCCUCCCGCCCCACGGGAUGACCGGGUCACUCUGUGCCCAGCCACCGUGCGACCACACACCCGCCCCCCCCUCUCUGCUCCGCCCCCCCGCGUGCUCCAAGCCGGGCAGCGGUGUGACCCCCCCCCCCCACACACACACCCUUGCGUACACCCCUCCACGCCUGUGGCUGGAGUUAGUAUCUGGGAACUUUGCAGCGAAAUCCUACAGGGUCCAGGGAGGGGCCGGAGGGAAGAGAGACCCUGCAGAGGCCUCACAGGCCACAGACACCCGCCCUGGCCGCCGAGUUCUGGGUAGGAGGCAGUCCACGGGUUCCCAAGCAAGCCCUGCAGGUGCACCCUGUCGCAUUCCUUUCCAAGUCUUUGGAGAUUCGGCCUUUUAGAAGUUUGUAAUGUUGUCCCGCCCCGCACCACACUCAUGGGGUCACACUAGCGGUCACACUGUCCCCAGCCCUCUAGUCCCACUGCUGAAGUUGGGGACGUGGUAUUCAGUGAGAGUAGCCUGGUGAUUGGGGUUCGAGCUGGAGGAUUGGGGCUCAAGCACCGCCCAGGAGCUAGGUAAUGAGAGCUUGGAGGUCGGUCACCAGGCUUCUCGGGUAGCGCAGCUUAACCGCUCCGCCCGCCGCCCUAGGGGAACCAGGCGGAGAGAGGUCGGGGAGGGAAGGACGAGUUAUUUUUUAUUUUUUUAAGAGAAGGCAGCUGGUGACCUCGAUCUUCACCCUUCAAGUUCCCCUAAGCGAAGGAGGGCGCCACCUACAGUCGAGUUUUAACUAGCACGGUGAUGAGAAAGCUGGCCAAGUUAAAGUGGCCCAGUUCUGCCCUUCUCAUCUCAGUCAGUCCAGACACACGCGUCUGUUGGCAGCAGCAGAGCAGAGAACACCAAAAUGUGCGUUGGGGGCGUGUAGAAGUCGGGACAGCAGAAGCAGCUCCGAUCAGGCAUGUUUGCAUUCUGAAGGUUUGGCUGGAUUUUUGAUCCCAGUAUCUCCUCCAGGUUUCAGCCAAGAACAAUCUGUUUCAUCAGAAACGGUAUCUGUGUGACCUUGGACAAGUCACUCACUCAGUCACUCUUCUUGACCCCCUCCUUCAGAACUAAACUGUGUGAUAGGGCUCCUCCUCCUCCAUCUUCUUCUACUUUUUUAUUCUUAUUUUUCUAAUAAUGAGACAGAGUAGGUGAGAAACAACAUGCUAGGAACUCCUACUUAUUUCUAAAAUGAGAAAAAAAAAACUUUUCGAGAGAUAUAACUUUUAAGACAUUGUUUAAAUGCUUUCUGCUCCAUGAGAGAGUAGGUCUUUAGAAGAGGAGAGAAAGCCAGCCAGGCUUGAGUGGCUGAUGUGAAUGCAGGCUAUUCUCUCUAUCUAAUCUCAUAGACAAAGGGAACAUAUUAAUGGAUGGCUAUGACUACUUAAUUAUAAUUUUACUUUGUAAAUUGCUAAUUACCAUUUGAACGUCUUACUGUAUAUGAUCUACACUAUUCCCAUUGUUUAGAUGAGGACAUACAAUGCUAGAGUCACAACUUCAGCAGCCCCCAGCCUUUCAGAACCUGUCUUUGAUGUGCAGUAUCCCGUACUGGCAGAGUAGGUUAGGAGUUUUGUAUAGGAAGACACAUUUUUUUUUUUUUCAAUAGCACCUCUGGAAAUUAGGCAUGAAAGUUCACACAGAUGGACUGGAGGAUCAGGGAGGUCGAGGGAGUCACUUUUGUGGGAGUGUGGGAAGUCAGGGAGGAAUUCAAGGAAAGAACCUGGAGGCAGGAACCCAUGGCGGGGGUGUUGAUUACUGGCUUGCUCUUGGCUUCCCUGGCCUUCUUUUCAAGGAAGUCACUUUAAGAAGUGGCAGGAGUAGCAUCAUGGAGAGCCUGGAUACACAUACAGUGACUGACUGGCACCAGUUUGGGCAUACUUCUAAAAGUUAUCAAGACAAGCCAGGCAGGAGAGGUGGCUGCUUAGUGGUUUUGCCAUGCCGAAGGGGUGGCAGAGGCUGGCUUUGGCAGCCUAAGUAAUAGGGAUCACUGCAGUGUUUCCUCAGGAAAUGUUGACGGUGGAAGAAAGAGCAGGGGCUGGGGGUGGGCAGUAGGCGAAGCCAGAGAGAGAUUGACUUAUUUUUCUAUUAAUAUAAUUAGCCUAUGCUUACCUAAUGGUCCACACAGCCAAAUCUCAUCAAACAGCCCAAUGAAAAAGUUUAGUUUAAUAUAGCAAUUGCUGUUCUGGCAUCUGAACCACAGAGAUUGUGCUUUGUUGCUCUGGUUAUGAGAAUAAUAUACAUUAAGGUUGCUGCCCCCUCAACCCUAGGGUUUCAUGCAUACUAGCAAGUGCCCUACCACUGAGCUAUACCUCAAGCCCAAUACUAUAUAUUUUUCGUACACCAAAUAUGUCAUUGCUUUGCAUCCUUGUAAUAGUGACAUUUUGUAAUGAAAGGUUUGGAUUACAGAGAGAAGCAAAUUAUACUACUUUCAGCAUUUUGGGGUUGCCAUUGUGGAAAAAUUGUGUAUGAGUUCUCCUUUGUAUCCAUCAAAGCAUAAAACCCAAACCACCAUUCCUAUCCAGAGUGUCUCCUUUACACCAGCAGAAUAACCAGACUUAUCAAAUGGCCUCAAAGUAGAGCUGAGAAAAUGGCUCAGUCUAUAAAGUUCUUGGUGCAUAAGGAUGAAACCUGAGUUCAGUCCCCGGGACCAUGUCAAAAGCUAGGGAGAGAAGAUUCCUAGGGCUUGCUGGUCUGCAAUCUGCUCUGCCAAGUUGGCAAGCUCCAGGUUCAGUAAGAGACUCUGUCUCAAAACUUAACAUAGACCUCUGGCCUAUGUGCACGCGCACACACACACACACACACACACACACACACACACACACACAGCCUAAAAGUUAAGCAAUAGAAAGGUUUAAGUUGGAGCCUUGUCUGUAAAGGCAGGCAUCCCACCUCCAUCCCCUUGCCAGCUCCAGCUAUUGAUCCUUCAUCUUGCCAAUACAUUACUGAGAGGCCAGACUUUGGUAAGCUGUUUCCAGUCUCCACACAGUGACAGUGUUUCUAAUAACCCAAAAGAUUUUCAUUUUGAAGCACAUGGCACAAGAAAUCCAUUAGCAGAAGAGUCCUACUGGGUACCUAAAGUUAUCAAAUUAAGGCUAGGUGGCCAGCUUUUCAGUUUAUUUGUUUAUUUACUUUUUGGUGACUGGUUGGUAAUAGAGAGGGCUUUGUAAGAGACAGCAGGUGACAUAUUUGUAGACUUGGUUUUUAUGUAUUCCAUAUUAGUCUAGGUUUUAGCAGAGAAAUGCAAGAGUGCUUCUGCCUAGAGUUUGAGAUCUAACUUCUAGGGUAGAAACUUCUUCCUGUCUCCUAUUCUAGGGUCCAGCCCUUCAUUUUGUUAUAAUAAAACAAUAGACUAAGGCUCAAAGAGAAUGUGUCUCAACUCAGAUAUUUCUUCUCUGAAGUUACAGGCUUCAUCCUAGAAUUUUUAAUGUUAUUGACUUCAUCUUCUUUUAAUAUAGCUCUAUAAAUAAGUGACUUGAGAAAGCACUUUAGGAAAGUUGGGAGCUGUAGUGUGUGACCUCAUUUUAUGCACAGCCACAUAUAGACAGAUUUACAAGGGACAUCACUGUUCACUGGGGUCUAAUUUGUUAUCAUGUUUCUAUGUUAUAGAAACAAAUGCCAGUCAGCAGAAAUGAGUUUGUGGCCAUGUAACUUAACUACUUUUUGGUUCCUUUCUACAGUGGUCUGUAGUAAAGAAAGGACAACAUAGUGGGCCAAUUUCCAAGGCACUCUGAAACUUGUCAAUGUCCUUUGUGUCCCCUGUGUUGAACAAAGCCCUUGGUCAAUGGCAGGUAGGCUCUGAGAACGUGGAUAGUUAUUAAAAACAAAAUGGCUUUUUACAACAGACUGCUGUGAGAUUUG